CAACUACUCCCUCGAUCCCAAAUUUCUUGUCUUAGAUUUGUCUAGAUACGGAUGUAUCUAAUACUAAAAUGUGACUUGAUACAUCUGCAUCUAGACAAAUCUAAGACAAGAAUUUUGGGACAGAGGGAGUACUUU
rfam:Triticum aestivum genome assembly, contig: Triticum_aestivum_CS42_TGACv1_scaffold_487635_6AS